rnacentral:rRNA from 1 species
AGUGAACGCUGGCGGUAGGCCUAACACAUGCAAGUCGAACGGCAGCACAGGAGAGCUUGCUCUCUGGGUGGCGAGUGGCGGUCGGGUGAGGAAUACAUCGGAAUCUACCUUUUCGUGGGGGAUAACGUAGGGAAACUUACGCUAAUACCGCAUACGACCUACGGGUGAAAGUGGGGGACCGCAAGGCCUCACGCGAUUAGAUGAGCCGAUGUCCGAUUAGCCAGUUGGCGGGGUAAUGGCCCAACAAGGCGACGAUCGGUAGCUGGUCUGAGAGGAUGAUCAGCCACACUGGAACUGAGACACGGUCCAGACUCCUACGGGAGGCAGCAGUGGGGAAUAUUGGACAAUGGGCGCAAGCCUGAUCCAGCCAUACCGCGUGGGUGAAGAAGGCCUUCGGGUUGUAAAGCCCUUUUGUUGGGAAAGAAAUCCUGUCGAUUAAUACUCGGUGGGGAUGACGGUACCCAAAGAAUAAGCACCGGCUAACUUCGUGCCAGCCGCCGCGGUAAUAC